rnacentral:rRNA from 1 species
UACGGAGGGUGCGAGCGUUGUCCGGAAUCACUGGGCGUAAAGGGCGCGUAGGCGGCCUGAUAAGUAGGGGGUGAAAUCCUGCGGCUUAACCGCAGGGCUGCCUUCUAAACUGUCAGGCUAGAGCACAGUAGAGGCAGGUGGAAUUCCCGGUGUAGCGGUGGAAUGCGUAGAGAUCGGGAAGAACAUCAGUGGCGAAGGCGGCCUGCUGGGCUGUUGCUGACGCUGAGGCGCGACAGCGUGGGGAGCAA